GGGAUUCGAUGAGUACAUGAACUUGGUCCUCGAUGAUGCUGAGGAAAUCAAUGUCAAGAAAAACACUAGGAAGACACUGGGCCGGAUACUCCUCAAAGGUGACAACAUAACUUUGAUGAUGAACAUUGGCAAGUGAAGGUUCUUAUGGCAGGAACGAUGUUUGGUGCUCGCGUUGAGUAUUUCUGGCACGUUGUACUCCAUCCAUUCAGACUUACAUGUAUCAUGUCAUUAUGGAUUAGUGAGGGAGUUGUACCUGCUGUUAUGUUGUGGCGAUGAGCUGGUCACUUGUGUGUGCCAUAUUGGCAUCUUAUGUUCAGCUUGACCUGAAGUUUUGCUCUGCCCUCUACUCUCCACGCUAACUUGGCGGGAUCAGAUCAACAUGAGAUGUGCUGAAUUAUCAA